GUCCUAGUUAGCAUUAACUGUCACCUUGAAGCAGCCUAGAAUCACUUAAAAGGGCUCAAUUAAGUGAUUUGGUCUGUGGGCAUUUCUGUGAGGAAUAUUCUUCAUCGUUCAUUCAUAGAGGAGGGCCCAGCCCACUGUGGGCAGUACUAUUCCCUGGGCAAGUGGUUCUGGUCUGGAAGCUAAGUGAGCUGUGAAGCGAGCCAACAAACAGCAUUCCUAGUUGGUUUCUGCUUCAGUGCCUGCCCUGACUUCCCUCAGUGAUGAACUAAGGCCUGGAAGUGUAAGUCGUAUAAAUUCCUUCCUCUUUUAAGUCAGUUGUACUCAGCGUUUUAUCAUAGCACCAGAAAGCAAACUAAAACAGAGACCCAACCAGAAAGCUAUUCUAGAGAUGUGAGGACAGGCUACGUACGUUUCUAGAUUUUUUUUUUUUUAUGUUCUAUUAGUUCUUGUUUAUUUUUAAGGAGAUAUGCAGUUUUGUUUGUCUUCUUGUUAUUCCAAACUUUAUGCUUUGGUCUACACCAAGUGUGACUUUCUUAGAGGAAGUUAAUAUGAGGCUGUCAUUUCUGGCCUUUUUGUACCAAGCCCUUGGUUUUUUAUUAUAGUUUCCAAGCCUGUAUCCCAUGUUUUGCAGUGUUUUCUUUACUGAAAACUUUAUAUUUAUUAAAUAGACGAACUUAAUUUGUUGUUCUACUUCUACCUAAUUAAAUACUUAUGAACUACGAGGUUUAUCAGGACUUCUGUUAAGUAUGGAAUGGUUGAAAAGCAACUCAUAUGGCUGCCAUAAUUCUAAAAUAAAAGCCAGGGUAUUUACAGAUUUAGCCUCAUCAGACCAAAGAUUAUUUUAUGAAUUUAACUCGAGGCUCACACAUUGCAACCACCAUUGGGGCAGUGUCCCCAGCUAUUCCCUGAUAUAUUUAAGAAUCCUAAAAGAAUUCUUUAGCAGACCUUCCGUGCUCAUAUAGAGGGGCUUGAUGCUUUAUUCUUUUGAGAUAGUCUAGUUGUGUGGCCCAGUCUGACUCUGCUACUCACGAAUAGACCAAGAUGACUUUGAACUUGCGGCAGCCUUCCUGCCCCAACCUCCCCAGUGCUGGGAUUCCAGGUGUGUGCCACCACACCUGUCUUGCUAGUGAUAGUGAACGUGUUUGUGCAUCCGGAGUCAGGACACGGGUUUUCACUCCUUGCACGAAGGCAGCUGGAAGAGGAAGUGGAACACCCUGGGUCUGUGACUGCUCGCGACUCUUCUGGAAUAGGAUUGCAGUGACAACUUGCCUGUGUCUAGGCCUGCUGCAGCAUCUCUCUGGCUUGGGAAGAGCUGUGAGGGGAAGGAUGAUCUCAGAGGGGAGUGGCUCAUGUUGAGAGAACAGAUACCAGACCUUCUAGAACUCUCCCUGUACAGAUGACCCCAUUCUCCACUUCCCGGAAGUCCUGGGUGUCUCCUCCUCUGAUUCACGCCCUCUUUGACUGACACUGAUGCCAGGAUCACCCGCUUGAGUGACCUGAAUGAGGCCAAAAGGUGUUAGUAUUCCCAGGAACCCUAGGAGACUGGAACAGAAAGGAGAGUGGAGGCAGAAGCUAGCUUCUCUACUCUGAAUUCGAGGACAGCAUUGUAAAGUUAAGCCAGCUGAGGAGGCGUGAGUUUUCUCUGCUGUUUGUGGCUGGAGUGACUGAUCUGAGAGUAAAAGGCUUGCUUGAUGCUGCUCUAGAAUGAGUGUUGUCUGGCAGAGACAGAGCUAAAGCUGUGCCUCCCAUCACGGGGAUAUUGAUGGCAGCACUCAUCAUAUUCAUUGAUCUCUACUGUGAGGAUAAAUUAUCCACAAGUCCCUAAAACCUUGACAUUAAAACUUGCCUUUAAUCCUAGCACUUGAGAGGCAGAGGCAGACAGAACUCUGUGAGUUCAAGGCCAGCCUGGUCUACAUAAUGGGACCCAGUACAGCCAUGGCUACACAGUAAGACCCUGCCUCAAAAUAAAUAAAUAAAUAUAAGUAAAUAAAAUAAAUAAAGUCAUUAAUAACUUCACAUUGAAGUUAUUUUGUUUAAAUGAUGCAAAUUUCAAUAUAUGGGUAUAAGUGGAAUGUUUUAUUAAAGGUACUAUCAACUUUGUCUCUCUCCCCCUUUUUAUUCUGGAAAUAAAAUCAUUUAAAAUUGUAUUAUGUGGUCAUGUUAUGUUUCUGAUCUAAAGUAAGGUUUCUGGGGACCAGAGAGAUGGAUCCAUGGAUGAGAACAUGGACCACUAUUACAGAGGAUCCAGACCUUAUUCCCAGUAUCCACACCAGGCUGCUCACAACUACAUGUAACUCCAGGUCCAGGAGAGCAAGUGCUCUGGUCUCACUGGCAUACACACCCCCAAACAUGCAUGCAUACCUGCAUUUUAAAAAAUAAAAAGAAAUCUUCAGGAAAUGCCAGGUUCUUAAGGUGCCUCGGUGGGUGACAGAGCUUUCUACCCAACCUGAAGCCCUGAGUCUGAUCUUUAGAACCCACAGCGAAAUGGGAGCUCUCACUCCACACAGACCUGGGAGUGCCACAUGCGUGCUGGGGCAGAUACCUUCCCACAUCAGAAACAGAAAGAAUAAAUGAGUGUUAUAAAUUGGAAGCUCUAGGUAUCGAAGAGGCUGGGCCUCUCCCUCUUUCUUUUACAAACGAUCAAGGUGAGAUCAGAGAAUUUAACAGUCAAUUUGGUCAAAACCGAGUAGUGAGCCAGAAGGCCCAGGUGCAUUUUCUUGAAAUUUUGCUUUUCAUGAAUUGAAGUCCAUGAAACUGUUGCUUUGGUGCAAGCGAGAGGGCCACAGCUUAUGUUCCAGUUUGUGUCAAAGCGCUGUCGAUUCUGACUUAUGUCAUGGCUGGCAGUGUAACUCAGUGGUAGAGUGUGCUCAGCGUGCACAAAGCUCUGGAUUCCGUUCUCAGCUUGAGGGGGGGUGCGGGGGGGGAGUAUCAUUUUUAAUCCAACCAAAAAUAUCAUCCGGUGCAAAGAAAGAGCACCUGGUGAGUUCUCCUGUGUGACUUCUCGAAUGCAUUUCUUCUUCCUCCUUGCUCUUGGGGGUGGAGCCUUAAUUGCUGGAGAAAAGUGCACUAAGAAAACAUUACACGCCUGCUUUCUACACAGCAGCCCCUCUCUCUUAGACAAACACUCCUAAGAGACUAAAGCUGGCUGGAAUUAAAUUGCCCCCGAGUCCUCACCCAGUUCAUUUGUUAUCUUUUCCACGGGGCAGAGGACCUCGAAGUCUGUGCCUAUCGUGGGGCUGUACUAACACUCCAACAUCCACACAAAAUGUUCUCAAAUGGAUUGUUUCAAAAGAUCUUGCUCUCCUAAGACUUGAGCGUGGAUAGUAAUCAAAACGUUUUUGAGGAGGGAGGAUCUUUUAUUUCACCUCCUUUGUGUAACCAAAGCUUAGCAAUCCAGCCCCCGCCCCCCCCC
rnacentral:lncRNA from 1 species